GUGCUUCACGCCUGUAAUCCCAGCACUUUGGGAGGCUGAGGUGGGUGGAUCAGGAGGUCAGGAGUUCGAGACCAGCCUGGCCAACAUGGUGAAACCCCGUCUCUACUAAAAAUACAAAAUUAGCUGGGCGUGGUGGUGCACGCCUGUAAUCCCAGCUACUCAGGAGGCUGAGGCAGGAGAAUUGCUUGAACCCAGGAGGUGGGGAGGUUUCAGUGAGCUGAGAUUGUAUCAUUGCACUCCAUCCUGGACAACAGAGUGAGACUCGGUCUCAAAAAAAAAAAAAAAAUCAACCUGCUCCCUGAAUGAAUAUUCAACUGCUUUAUCUGAAAUGUCCUCCCUUGCUCAACUUCCUUUUACAACCAUAUCUCCCCUUCCCUCACCCUGAGCUUUUACUCUCCAUUCUUCUCCUACCCUCUUCUCUCUGACAGUUUCACUUCCUCUUUGCAUACAGAUUCUACCACCAUCUGGUGGGUGCUAGUUGGGAUGUAAGUGGCGUGGGGCUAUCAGAGGCAGUGCCUCUGCUAGAUUACCCUCGGCCUAGGCUUCAUCCCUGUGGGUCCUGAAUAGAGACUUUCCCAAGACGCUUAGAAAUAAACAGUGACAUUGCCUUAAAAGCGGGGGCUGAGGAGGGGUUGCCAGAGAGAGGGAAGAAGAACCAGGAGAGAGGGGUGUCCCAGAAGGCAAAGGAAAAGAGCCUGUUUCCUACCAAGGUGUGGCCUGAUAGCAUGAAGGCUCAAAAUUAUCGAUGGAUUCAGGAGAUGAGAGGUUAUGGGUGGAACUCUCCUAGGACAGAUUCAGUGGAGAAGGAAGGAGGGAACCUGACUGACCUUGGAGGACGUGGCAAGUGAAGAAGUGCCGAGGGAAAAAAAUAGCAUCAAAAUGGAAAAUGGAGAGAAAGGAACAAGCCAAAACAAUUUAAGUGAUGAAAAAUGGGGGAACGGACAGAGCGAAGGGAACAGGGAAAAGCUGGCUGUGUCUGGGUAGUUCAACACGUAUGUCUCAAGACUAAGGAGGACAGGUAGGUGUAGGGGAGAUGGAAUGUUGGGGAGUAGUGUCAGGAGCAGUGGGAUGACAGAAUUAGAUUUCUGCUUCAGGCCGGGUGAGGCGGCCUGUAAUCCCAGCACGUUGGGAAUCCGAGGCGGCAGAUCACCUGAGGUCAGGAGUUCAAGACCAACCUGGCCAACAUGGGGAAACCUGUCUCUACAAAAAUACAAAAAUUAGCC
rnacentral:lncRNA from 1 species